UACGGGGGGGGCAAGCGUUGUUCGGAAUUACUGGGCGUAAAGGGCUCGUAGGUGGCCAACUAAGUCAGACGUGAAAUCCCUCGGCUUAACCGGGGAACUGCGUCUGAUACUGGAUGGCUAGAGAUUGGGAGAGGGAUGCGGAAUUCCAGGUGUAGCGGUGAAAUGCGUAGAUAUCGUGAGGAACACCAGAGGCGAAGGCGGCUACCUGGACAAUUGCUGACGCUCAGGCACGAAAGCGUGGGGAGCAAACAGG
rnacentral:rRNA from 1 species